rnacentral:rRNA from 1 species
UUAAAGAAAGCGUAAUAGCUCACUGGUCGAGUCGGCCUGCGCGGAAGAUGUAACGGGGCUAAGUAGUAAACCGAAGCUGCGGCAAUGUGCUUUUGCACAUUGGGUAGGGGAGCGUUCUGUAAGCGGUUGAAGGUGUGUGGUAACGCAUGCUGGACGUAUCAGAAGUGCGAAUGCUGACAUGAGUAACGAUAAAGGGGGUGAAAAACCUCCUCGCCGGAAGACCAAGGGUUCCUGUCCAACGUUAAUCGGGGCAGGGUAAGUCGACCCCUAAGGCGAGGCCGAAAGGCGUAGUCGAUGGGAAACGGGUUAAUAUUCCCGUACUUCUUACAAUUGCGAUGGGGGGGACGGAGAAGGCUAGGUGGGCCUGGCGACGGUUGUCCAGGUUCAAGUGCGUAGGCUUAAGAGUUAGGUAAAUCCGGCUCUUUUUAAGGCUGAGACACGACGUCGAGCA